UACAGAGGGGGCAAGCGUUGUCCGGAUUUACUGGGCGUAAAGCGUGCGUAGACGGCUAUCUAAGUCGGGUGUGAAAGCCCCGGGCUCAACCUGGGAAUUGCAUUCGAGACUGAAUAGCUAGGGUACGGUAGAGGGAAGCGGAAUUUCCGGUGUAGCGGUGAAAUGCGUAGAUAUUGGGAAGAACACCGGUGGCGAAGGCGGCGACCUGGUCCAUUACUGACGCUGAGGAGCGAAAGCUAGGGGAGCAAACGGG
rnacentral:rRNA from 1 species